GACGAACGCUGGCGGCGUGCUUAACACAUGCAAGUCGAACGGUAAGGCUCCAGCUUGCUGGGGUACACGGGUGGCGAACGGGUGAGUAACACGUGGGUGACCUGCCCUGCACUUCGGGAUAAGCCUGGGAAACUGGGUCUAAUACCGGAUAGGACCGCACCGUGAGGGUGUGGUGGAAAGUUUUUUCGGUGUGGGAUGGGCCCGCGGCCUAUCAGCUUGUUGGUGGGGUAAUGGCCUACCAAGGCGGCGACGGGUAGCCGGCCUGAGAGGGUGGACGGCCACAUUGGGACUGAGACACGGCCCAGACUCCUACGGGAGGCAGCAGUGGGGAAUAUUGCACAAUGGGCGGAAGCCUGAUGCAGCGACGCCGCGUGGGGGAUGACGGCCUUCGGGUUGUAAACUCCUUUCACCAUCGACGAAGGGUUUCUGACGGUAGAUGGAGAAGAAGCACCGGCUAACUACGUGCCAGCAGCCGCGGUAAUACGUAGGGUGCGAGCGUUGUCCGGAAUUACUGGGCGUAAAGAGCUCGUAGGUGGUUUGUCGCGUCGUCUGUGAAAUUCCGGGGCUUAACUCCGGGCGUGCAGGCGAUACGGGCAUAACUUGAGUACUGUAGGGGAGACUGGAAUUCCUGGUGUAGCGGUGAAAUGCGCAGAUAUCAGGAGGAACACCGGUGGCGAAGGCGGGUCUCUGGGCAGUAACUGACGCUGAGGAGCGAAAGCAUGGGGAGCGAACAGGAUUAGAUACCCUGGUAGUCCAUGCCGUAAACGGUGGGCGCUAGGUGUGGGUUUCCUUCCACGGGAUCCGUGCCGUAGCUAACGCAUUAAGCGCCCCGCCUGGGGAGUACGGCCGCAAGGCUAAAACUCAAAGGAAUUGACGGGGGCCCGCACAAGCGGCGGAGCAUGUGGAUUAAUUCGAUGCAACGCGAAGAACCUUACCUGGGCUUGACAUAUACAGGAUCGCGCCAGAGAUGGUGUUUCCCUUGUGGCUUGUAUACAGGUGGUGCAUGGUUGUCGUCAGCUCGUGUCGUGAGAUGUUGGGUUAAGUCCCGCAACGAGCGCAACCCUUGUCUUAUGUUGCCAGCACGUUGUGGUGGGGACUCGUAAGAAACUGCCGGGGUUAACUCGGAGGAAGGUGGGGAUGACGUCAAAUCAUCAUGCCCCUUAUGUCCAGGGCUUCACACAUGCUACAAUGGUCGGUACAGUGGGUUGCCAGUCCGUGAGGGCGAGCUAAUCCCGCAAAGCCGGUCUCAGUUCGGAUCGGGGUCUGCAACUCGACCCCGUGAAGUCGGAGUCGCUAGUAAUCGCAGAUCAGCAACGCUGCGGUGAAUACGUUCCCGGGCCU
rnacentral:rRNA from 1 species